UACGUAGGGACCAAGCGUUGUCCGGAAUCAUUGGGCGUAAAGCGCGUGUAGGCGGUUCGAUAAGUCUGCUGUGAAAGUCCAGGGCUCAACCCUGGAAAGCCGGUGGAUACUGUCAGACUAGAGUGCGGAAGAGGCGAGUGGAAUUCCCGGUGUAGCGGUGAAAUGCGCAGAUAUCGGGAGGAACACCAAUUGCGAAGGCAGCUCGCUGGGACGUUACUGACGCUGAGACGGCGAAAGCGUGGGGAGCAAACAGG
rnacentral:rRNA from 1 species